CUUGACAUCCGAUGCUAUUCUAGAGAUAGAAGUUACUUCGGUACAUCGGUGACAGGUGGUGCAUGGUUGUCGUCAGCUCGUGUCGUGAGAUGUUGGGUUAAGUCCCGCAACGAGCGCAACCCCUAUUGUUAGUUGCCAUCAUUCAGUUGGGCACUCUAGCGAGACUGCCGGUAAUAAACCGGAGGAAGUGGGGAUGACGUCAAAUCAUCAUGCCCCUUAUGACCUGGGCUACACACGUGCUACAAUGGUUGGUACAACGAGUUGCGAGUCGGUGACGGCGAGCUAAUCUCUUAAAGCCAAUCUCAGUUCGGAUUGUAGGCUGCAACUCGCCUACAUGAAGUCGGAAUCGCUAGUAAUCGCGGAUCAGCACGCCGCGGUCGAAUACGUUCCCGGGCCUU
rnacentral:rRNA from 1 species